CACGCCCUAAACGAUGUCAACUAGUUGUUCGGUGAGGAGACUCAUUGAGUAACGCAGCUAACGCGUGAAGUUGACCGCCUGGGGAGUACGGCCGCAAGGUUAAAACUCAAAGGAAUUGACGGGGACCCGCACAAGCGGUGGAUGAUGUGGAUUAAUUCGAUGCAACGCGAAAAACCUUACCUACCCUUGACAUGUCAGGAAUCCUUGAGAGAUUGAGGAGUGCCCGAAAGGGAACCUGAACACAGGUGC
rnacentral:rRNA from 2 species